GUUCUGUCAAACGGCACUGCUUUCUCAGGGUAACCGUGCCGGCCAGUGCCAUAACAAGGUCAUUUAUCCCAUUCUCUGGACAGCAAAGGGUAAAGUACAGCACUUGGCGACGGCAUGGCGUGCGGGUAAAGAAAACUGGCCGUGUGACUCAGUUAUUGGCUGUCUGGAACUGACCAAUAGGAAGCAGCCUCUCACGGCAUUGGUGCCCGCUAUCGUCCGACCAGUAAAGAGUGACCGAAGAUACCAUGAUCUAAGGACGCCUGGUCAAGAUACUCUUCUUUCGUCCCUGAAUAUAUAAGCACAGUUCCGGAAAUAUUACUCGAGCGCACAGACCAAAGCAAGACAUCUGCGCGAUGUGGAAGCGCAUACUACUGAAACUCGCACCGAAAGAUUAUUUGUGGAUAAAAGCAUGGCGAAGAGAACCGUGGCGGGCAAAAAGUCAAAAUACGAAGAGGACCAAGCACUAGCAGAGUGCGCGGUUCAAUGAAAGUCCCCACAAAGCACCAAGAAA